UACGAAGGGGGCUAGCGUUGUUCGGAAUUACUGGGCGUAAAGGGAGCGUAGGCGGACAUUUAAGUCAGGGGUGAAAUCCCGGGGCUCAACCUCGGAAUUGCCUUUGAUACUGGGUGUCUUGAGUAUGAGAGAGGUAUGUGGAACUCCGAGUGUAGAGGUGAAAUUCGUAGAUAUUCGGAAGAACACCAGUGGCGAAGGCGACAUACUGGCUCAUUACUGACGCUGAGGCUCGAAAGCGUGGGGAGCAAACAGG
rnacentral:rRNA from 1 species